GUUCUUGCCUAUGUUUCUCGUAUGCUGUUGCUUUUGGAAAAUUUUCUCUCUACCUGGCUCCCUGUUUCUGUUUUCUAGUUCUUGCUGUUUCUUCUCCCGUAUCACUUGAGAAUGUUUCCCUGUCCCUUGUCCUGUCUUUAUCUUGUUGUCCUGCCAGUCCCUUCCCCUUCUCUCCCCCACUUCCUAUUAUUUAUUCCUCCAUCUCCAUCCCUGUUGUUUUGCUCAGUCUCUCUGCGCUUCUCUCUCUACACUGUUUUCCUGCUUCUCGUCCCUCUCUUGUUCCCAGCAUCCCAUUUUCUGGCUCCCUGUCUUGCACCUCUGUGUCCCUCUGUCCUUCCUCCUGCUUUACUCUUCCCUUUUAUCACCCCAUCCUGCUGCCUUUGGGCACUGAGCCUUGUAGCCAACUCAUUGCCAGGAUUUCUUAUAUGCAUUAAUGAAUAAAUUUUUCCUGCCUCCUCUGUGUCCCUGGAUGUGGUUGCUUGAGACUGGCUGGGCAUCGGUCAGUUGGUGGUUUCUUAUAGGCACCCUUUACAUACCAUGAAGUCUGCUAUAAGGUCUCCUGCAAAGCUGCAUGCCAGUGAGCGGUCCGAG